rnacentral:ribozyme from 1 species
CACCUCCGUCCAUUAUGCUACCCGAUCUUUCGACAAGUGGCAAUCUUUGGGGGGAUCUCUGGUAGCGCCCAAAUAAAACUCAAGAAAUUUCAAUAUCAGUCGUGGUUGUU